rnacentral:tRNA from 1 species
GGCGGCGUAGUGCAGUGGUUUAGCAUCUCCUCCCCCCAAGAGGAAGACGUUGGUUCGACUCCGACCGUCGCCA